GAUGAACGCUAGCGGCAGGCCUAACACAUGCAAGUCGAGGGGCAUCGCGGUGCAGCAAUGCACUGGCAGCGACCGGCGUACGGGUGCGUAACGCGUAUGCAACCUGCCCCGCACCGGGGGGAUAGCCCGCCGAAAGGCGGAUUAAUACCCCAUGGUCCCGGGGGCCCGCAUGGGCAUCCGGGUAAAGCCUUGGCGGUGCGGGAUGGGCAUGCGUGCCAUUAGCUGGCUGGUGGGUAACGGCCCACCAGGGCAACGAUGGCUAGGGGGUCUGAGAGGAUGGUCCCCACACUGGUACUGAGACACGGACCAGACUCCUACGGGAGGCAGCAGUGACGGAAUAUUGGACAAUGGGCGCAAGCCUGAUCCAGCAAUGCCGCGUGUGUGAAGAGGCCUUGGGUUAAAGCACUUUACAGGAACGAAAGCGUUGGAUUAAUACUCUGACGUGCUGACGGUACCUGAGGAAUAAGCACCGGCUAACUCGUCGCCACG
rnacentral:rRNA from 1 species